rnacentral:rRNA from 1 species
UGCCUAACACAUGUCAAGUGCGAACGGGGCUACUACGACGGAAGGCUUCGGCUGGAAGAUGUUUUAGCUUAGUGGCGGACGGGUGAGUAACGCGUGAGCAACCUGCCUUACAGAGGGGGACAACAGUUGGAAACGACUGCUAAUACCGCAUAAAGUAUUGAGAGGGCAUCCUUUUGAUACCAAAGAUUUAUCGCUGUAAGAUGGGCUCGCGUAUGAUUAGAUAGUUGGUGAGGUAACGGCUCACCAAGUCGACGAUCAUUAGCCGGACUGAGAGGUUGAACGGCCACAUUGGGACUGAGAUACGGCCCAGACUCCUACGGGAGGCAGCAGUGGGGAAUAUUGCGCAAUGGGGGCAACCCUGACGCAGCAACGCCGCGUGAAGGAUGAAGGUUUUCGGAUUGUAAACUUCUUUUGUCAAGGACGAAGAAAGUGACGGUACUUGACGAAUAAGCUCCGGCUAACUACGUGCCAGCAGCCGCGGUAAUACGUAGGGAGCGAGCGUUGUCCGGAUUUACUGGGUGUAAAGGGCGAGUAGGCGGGCGUGCAAGUCAGAUGUGAAAGCCCGGGGCUCAACCCCGGAACUGCAUUUGAAACUGUAUGUCUUGAGUGAUGGAGAGGCAGGCGGAAAUUCCCGGUGUAGCGGUGGAAUGCGUAGAUAUCGGGAGGAACACCAGUGGCGAAGGCGGCCUGCUGGACAUUAACUGACNCUGAGGAGCGAAAGCGUGGGGAGCAACAGGAUAGAUCCCUGGUAGUCCCGCUGUAACGAUGGAUACUAGGUGUGGGAGGUA